UACGUAGGCAGCAAGCGUUGUUCGGAAUUACUGGGCGUAAAGGGUGCGUAGGCGGCUUUCUAAGUUGGAUGUGAAAACUCUGGGCUCAACCCAGAGACUGCAUCCAAAACUGGAGAGCUUGGGUUCUGGAGGGGAAAGCGGAAUUCCUGGUGUAGCGGUGAAAUGCGUAGAUAUCAGGAGGAACACCGGUGGCGAAGGCGGCUUUCUGGACAGAUACCGACGCUGAGGCACGAAAGCUAGGGGAGCAAACAGG
rnacentral:rRNA from 1 species